UAGAGUCGCGACAUAGUCUAUUAACAUAAGCUUUAAUCUUUGGUAUAUUAGCAAAUCUUCCAGAUUGAAGUUAGCAGUUUAUGGAGAGAAAAUAAAAUUCUUUCUGUAUAUUCGCCUAAUAAGACCACUCAAGUCUUUAGCACUGAAUAAUAAAAAGUGUCACAAAUCUUUGAACUAUGGUAAAACUCCCAAUUACAAUUACUUAAGUUCGCACUCCUAAAACAGCAUUACCCGUAGAAUAAAUUGAAAAAAAAGUAU